rnacentral:rRNA from 1 species
UGAGGAAUAUUGGUCAAUGGGCGGGAGCCUGAACCAGCCAAGCCGCGUGAGGGAAGAAGGCCCUAUGGGUCGUAAACCUCUUUUGUCAGGGAACAAAAGCGAGUAUGUAUACUAGUCUGAGUGUACCUGAAGAAAAAGGCAUCGGCUAACUCCGUGCCAGCAGCCGCGGUAAUACGGAGGAUGCGAGCGUUAUCCGGAUUUAUUGGGUUUAAAGGGUGCGUAGGCGGCGGUGCAAGUCAGCGGUAAAAGCCCGGGGGCCUCAACCCCGGCGAGCCGUUGAAACUGCAGUGCUAGAGAAGGCGAGAGGUACGCGGAAUGCGCAGUGUAGCGGUGAAAUGCUUAGAUAUUGCGCAGAACUCCGAUCGCGAAGGCAGCGUACUGGCGCCUGACUGACGCUGAGGCACGAAAGCGUGGGGAUCGAACAGGGAUUAGAUACC